AGAGUUUGAUCAUGGCUCAGGACGAACGCUGGCGGCGUGCUUAACACAUGCAAGUCGAACGGAAAGGCCCCUUCGGGGGUACUCGAGUGGCGAACGGGUGAGUAACACGUGGGUGAUCUGCCCUGCACUUUGGGAUAAGCCUGGGAAACUGGGUCUAAUACCGAAUAGGACCGCAUGCUUCAUGGUGUGUGGUGGAAAGCUUUUGCGGUGUGGGAUGGGCCCGCGGCCUAUCAGCUUGUUGGUGGGGUAAUGGCCUACCAAGGCGACGACGGGUAGCCGGCCUGAGAGGGUGUCCGGCCACACUGGGACUGAGAUACGGCCCAGACUCCUACGGGAGGCAGCAGUGGGGAAUAUUGCACAAUGGGCGCAAGCCUGAUGCAGCGACGCCGCGUGGGGGAUGACGGCCUUCGGGUUGUAAACCUCUUUCAGUAUCGGCGAAGCUCCAGGAUUUUUCUUGGGGUGACGGUAGGUACAGAAGAAGCACCGGCCAACUACGUGCCAGCAGCCGCGGUAAUACGUAGGGUGCGAGCGUUGUCCGGAAUUACUGGGCGUAAAGAGCUCGUAGGUGGUUUGUCACGUUGUCCGUGAAAACUCACAGCUUAACUGUGGGCGUGCGGGCGAUACGGGCAGACUGGAGUACUGUAGGGGAGACUGGAAUUCCUGGUGUAGCGGUGGAAUGCGCAGAUAUCAGGAGGAACACCGGUGGCGAAGGCGGGUCUCUGGGCAGUAACUGACGCUGAGGAGCGAAAGCGUGGGGAGCGAACAGGAUUAGAUACCCCGGUAGUCCAA
rnacentral:rRNA from 1 species